CCUGUCUAACUUCCUUAUAACAGUGAUCACGCCUGAUUUGUCACCGAUCGCAAAUUGACGCAGGUCGUUUCCAGAUACGAUCGAGUACGACACUGGAUCGUUCUCUGGGUCAACUGCCUAUUAAACGGAGAUCAAACCGAGUUAAAGACGCCCUAGAUUUCGGAUCAAAUAAAUCUACUUACGGACGCCGAAUAUUCUGGAUUAAUGCAGGCGCCAUCCAACAGCAUACAGCCUUGAUAGAUGAAGGAAGGAUCUUGAUCAUCGUCGUCUCUGAUAUUUACCGUCAAAAGUUUACCGAUUUUACACUACUUUUUCUACUAACAAACGUCAACGUAUUAAAGACUAUAUCUGAAACGUAAGUAUUCGAUGCCAAAGAAUUCGUUACUUUGCCCGAUUUGAUUGUUUCGAUUCUAUGAUCGAAUUCUCUUGUCCUCCGCACCAUGCUUACACGCUACGAGCGAUGCACGCGUCAGAGCAAAACGUUGAACGAGGCGUUCGUUAGAAACGAAAGAUACUCGAGUUCUUGCAAACAGUCACCGUUAAAUAACCGUUCAAAAGAUCAACGAAGCACACCGCGAUAAAAACGAAACUGAGCGAAAUUAGAUCGACGGAAGGAUCGUUGCUUCCGGUUUUGUCCCGGCUGAUAAAUGAGAAUAAGAAUAAACGAGAAAGAAUUGUUUCGUGCGAGCAAAGACUUCGGUAGCACUUGUACCUAGCAAAAAAUGAAUCAUCUCCACUAAUCAUCGGUCUAGCAAUCUUUUCACGAGCCAGCCAGUUCGGAAACACGUCCAGUUACAUGCUCGGAACGAAUCGCAGAGAAAUAUACGUGGCUUUCUCGAGAUAAACACUGCGACACACGAAGCGGCCAACUACCGAUUACGUAACGCAAAACGCAGAUAACAGAUUCGACAAAUUUAAUUUCACACGACCGCGCUGAGCGCAAAAGUAGCAGCCCACCUAAUGUUCCGGUUACGAAAUCCACUUUGUCGAAAGUAAGCAAGUCUGGUAAGAAUUUGUCUCACC